UACGGCCAUAUUAUGUUAAAACACCGGUUCUCGUACGAUCACUGAAGUUAAGCAACGUCGAGCCUGAUCAGUAUGUAGAUGGGUGACUGCGUGGAAAUUCCAUGUGCUGUAA